GCGGUUUAAGUUAUUAUACUCAA
rnacentral:snRNA from 1 species